GACGAACCGUGCAAACGUUGUUCGGAAUCACUGGGCUUAAAGGGCGCGUAGGCGGGACGGCACGUCGGUCGCUGAAAUCCCCCGGCUUAACCGGGGAACUGGCGUCGAUACGACCGCCCUGGAGGGGCGUAAGGGGACCUGGAACUUCCGGUGGAGCGGUGAAAUGCGUUGAGAUCGGAAGGAACGCCCGUGGCGAAAGCGAGGUCCUGGACGCCUACUGACGCUGAGACGCGAAAGCCAGGGGAGCGAACGGG
rnacentral:rRNA from 1 species